GAUGAACGCUGGCGGCGUGCCUAAUACAUGCAAGUCGAGCGAACAGACGAGGAGCUUGCUCCUCUGACGUUAGCGGCGGACGGGUGAGUAACACGUGGAUAACCUACCUAUAAGACUGGGAUAACUUCGGGAAACCGGAGCUAAUACCGGAUAAUAUAUUGAACCGCAUGGUUCAAUAGUGAAAGACGGUUUUGCUGUCACUUAUAGAUGGAUCCGCGCCGCAUUAGCUAGUUGGUAAGGUAACGGCUUACCAAGGCGACGAUGCGUAGCCGACCUGAGAGGGUGAGCGGCCACAAGGGAACUGAGACACGGUACAGACUCCUACGGGAGGCAGCAGUAGGGAAUCUUCCGCAAUGGGCGAAAGCCUGACGGAGCAACGCCGCGUGAGUGAUGAAGGUCUUAUGAUCGUAAAACUCUGUUAUUAGGGAAGAACAAAUGUGUAAGUAACUAUGCACGUCUUGACGGUACCUAAUCAGAAAGCCACGGCUAACUACGUG
rnacentral:rRNA from 1 species